GAUGAACGCUGGCGGCGUGCCUAAUACAUGCAAGUCGAGCGAACAGACGAGGAGCUUGCUCCUUUGACGUUAGCGGCGGACGGGUGAGUAACACGUAGGUAACCUACCUAUAAGACUGGGAUAACUUCGGGAAACCGGAGCUAAUACCGGAUAAUAUUUCGAACCGCAUGGUUCGAUAGUGAAAGAUGGCUUUGCUAUCACUUAUAGAUGGACCUGCGCCGUAUUAGCUAGUUGGUAAGGUAACGGCUUACCAAGGCAACGAUACGUAGCCGACCUGAGAGGGGGAUCGGCCACACUGGAACUGAGACACGGUCCAGACUCCUACGGGAGGCAGCAGUAGGGAAUCGGCCGCAAUGGGCGAAAGCCUGACGGAGCAACGCCGCGUGAGUGAUGAAGGUCUUCGGAUCGUAAAACUCUGUUAUUAGGGAAGAACAAACGUGUAAGUAACUGUGCACGUCUUGACGGUACCUAAUCAGAAAGCCACGGCUAACUACGUG
rnacentral:rRNA from 1 species